UACGAAGGGGGCUAGCGUUGUUCGGAAUUACUGGGCGUAAAGCGUGCGCAGGCGGUUCGUUGUGUCGGCGGUGAAAGCCCCGGGCUCAACCUGGGAAUGGCCGUUGAAACUGGCGAACUGGAGUGUGGCAGAGGGGGGUGGAAUUCCGCGUGUAGCAGUGAAAUGCGUAGAGAUGUGGAGGAACACCAGUGGCGAAGGCGACUCUUUGGCCUGUAACUGACGCUGAGGCGCGAAAGCGUGGGGAGCAAACAGG
rnacentral:rRNA from 1 species